GCUGGUAUUUAAAUACAUAGAUUUAAUAUAACGUACUAAAGGUACUAUAGAAGGCACUGAGACAACUUUGAGAAAGGAAUGCCUUCUGACUGAGCAUGGAAUGGGGAAGAAGAGUUCUGAAUUGGGGCUGGGCAUGCUGUUUGUUUAAUGAAGAAAACUCUUUCAGAAAGAAUUAAAAAGAAAUACCACAAUACCUGCACCUACAGGAAAUAAGCCGAGCAGAAGUCUUCCCAACCUCCCACUUGAUCUUCCAUAUUUAGAGUGCAUCAAAAGAAGAGAAAGAGAUUUGGGAGCAGGGCAGAAAAAUAGGAGAAGGAGAAAGACAAGCUAUAAGGAAUCAAAAAAUGUCACUUGGCAUAAUCAUAUCAAAAGCUGGAACUCCAAAUCC